rnacentral:misc_RNA from 1 species
GAUGAAGAACGUAGCGAAAUGCGAUAAGUAAUGUGAAUUGCAGAAUUCAGUGAAUCAUCGAGUCUUUGAACGCACAUUGCGCCCCCUGGUAUUCCGGGGGGCAUGCCUGUCCGAGCGUCAUUGCUGCCCUCAAGCACGGCUUGUGUGUUGGGCCCCCGUCCCCGGUUUCCCCCGGGGACGGGCCCGAAAGGCAGCGGCGGCACCGCGUCCGGUCCUCGAGCGUAUGGGGCUUUGUCACCCGCUCUGUAGGCCCGGCCGGCGCCAGCCGACACCCAACUUUAUUUCUAAGGUUGACCUCGGAUCAGGUAGGGAUAACCGCUGAACUUAAGCAUAUCAAUAAGCGGAGGA